CUUGUUCUUUCUUUGCUGGACCAAAGAGGACAGAGAGAUAUGUUGCCUACUGGAUGACUUAUCAGAGUCCUCUUCACAGAAUAGCAGAGAUCAGCUGCUAUAGUGUGUCAAGUAUUGUCCAUGAAUUAGAGUACAAAGAUGAAAAAGACACAAGACUAUCCUAAGGACCUCAUAUCUGGGUAAGCAGAAGGCUUUCCAUCUAAACAUAUUGUGAUGUCAUCAAUGAUACAACAACAAUAUGAAGAAAGGUCCCUGGAAGACAUAAGAGAAGGACCUCAAACGCAUGCCUUUAAAGCCGUCAUCUGCAGUCCUGACUGAUUGAUCGGAUAUCAACUGAUGAGUCAAACUACUGAACCAUUGCUCCAGACAAAGGUCCCUUGAAGCUGGUAGGAGUGGAGAGUCUGCUCACUGCUGGAUAUCACUGAUACCAUCUGGUAUGAGGAGAAUGGUAACACCACCUGCUGCUGACUGUUGGAGGAUAGAAGAUCAGUUCCAUGUUAAGUCUUACAUAUACUACCUUGGCAGGGAAACUGAAGUAUUCCUGGCUUCCACUGAAUGAGUAAUAGAUCAGAUCCCCACUAGCCUCUCUGAUACUAAUCCUACAGGGGAAUCCACAUACUGCUUGCAUCUUCCAGGCAGGGGAUAGGUGAUGAGCUCUUGCUGUCAUCCCUGCAAACAUGACCAGGCUAGGGAAUCAGAGUGCUUCCACCUGAUUCUGUGGUACAGUGUGCAGUGUUAGAGUAGACAAUCAGCUUGUUCUUUACCCCACUAAAUUUGAGGGGAAGAGGUAUAACUUUUCCACUGUUUCAUUUGUUUUGGUCUGGAGUAGGACAGCCAUCCCCCAAAAUAUUCUUGUUCUUAGGCCAUCUAUUUCCCAGAAAUUUGGCUAGAAAAACUUUUUUGUUGUUGGUUUUUGUUUGUGCUUGUUGGCAGUUCUGCAUAGCCCCAAUCUGGGAUAUGUGUAGGUGAUAAGAAAACCAAGGUUUUAUGGACUGAAUUUUGUGUCCCCUCCAAAUUCAUUUGUUGAAGUUCUAACCCCUAAUGUAACUGUAUUUGG